GAUGAACGCUGGCGGCGUGCCUAAUACAUGCAAGUCGAGCGAACAGACGAGGAGCUUGCUCCUCUGACGUUAGCGGCGGACGGGUGAGUAACACGUGGAUAACCUACCUAUAAGACUGGGAUAACUUCGGGAAACCGGAGCUAAUACCGGAUAAUAUAUUGAACCGCAUGGUUCAAUAGUGAAAGACGGUUUUGCUGUCACUUAUAGAUGGAUCCGCGCCGCAUUAGCUAGUUGGUAAGGUAACGGCUUACCAAGGCGACGAUGCGUAGCCGACCUGAGAGGGUGAUCGGCCACACUGGAACUGAGACACGGUCCAGACUCCUACGGGAGGCAGCAGUAGGGAAUCUUCCGCAAUGGGCGAAAGCCUGACGGAGCAACGCCGCGUGAGUGAUGAAGGUCUUCGGUCGUAAAACUCUGUUAUUAGGGAAGAACAAAUGUGUAAGUAACUAUGCACGUCUUGACGGUACCUAAUCAGAAAGCCACGGCUAACUACGUG
rnacentral:rRNA from 1 species